rnacentral:misc_RNA from 1 species
AAAUAAAAAUAAAUAAAUAAAAUGAACAUAAUGGGAAAAAAAAAAUCUCAAUCUCAGCCAUAGGACAAACGCAUAAAUAUAGAAAAUUAAGUGAUCUCAAGAACACAAUAUUAGCACAAACAUAUACAUAUAAACAUAAAUAAUUGCAUACUAUGCGUAUGUACAAGAAGGAACUAGAAUACCCGGUAGGCAAAUUAUCGACAUAG